UCCGAACCCGGAAGCUAAGCCUCUCAGCGCCGAUGGUACUGCAAGGGGGACCUUGUGGGAGAGUAGGACGCCGCCGGAC
rnacentral:rRNA from 1 species